rnacentral:lncRNA from 1 species
GUCGCGAUGACGUAAUCACGUACUUUCUGAAGUGAGUUUCACGGCACGGACGACGCACAUCCAUGGAACUUGGCUGAGGCGAUAAAGAAAAAAUCUCUUGCAUCACUUCAGAUUCAACCGAUCAAUCACAUGUAUGGAUGGUUUCGUCAUGGCCGACCUUCUGCUUAUCCAAACCCGAACAUUAUCGAGCACAACCCUCAACCGAAAUGUCCCUUCAGGGCGUCAAGGUGAUGAAAUGCUUAUUUCAAUAUGCAAUUAUGAAGGUGAAGGCUCAUGGAGGAGUUUGUUCACAUUGUUCAUACAAGACGAGUAGACAAUGCCGUGUCACGUACUCGUCUGCAUCACGACACUUCGACUUCGACAUCAAUUAUAAGGACAUUAACAGACACUUGUAGACAAGUUAAUGAAAAUAUUAAAAUCUGAGAAUUUCGUUUCAAGUGCUGGAAGAGGCUGAGAUGAUAAGUACUGCAAGUGUCAUAUAUUAAUUACGUACACACUAAAUCACAAAGUUGGGGGGGGGAGCAGAGCGCAUCCACAUUUCCGCAUCUCUGCUUACCUAAUAAAUAGAUCUGGCGAAAGUAUUCACAAACAACACGAGUACCCGAAUGAUACCACAAUGAAGAAGCUACAUUUGUAAACGUCAUUUUGAAAGGUUGAACUAAAUUGAUAUAUUUUCAGUGCUAUUCUGAAAAUGUUCGAGUCUGGCGUUUUGAACAUGUGACACGAAGUUCGUUCCUGGGAGCACGAACUGGACAAGUACUGGACUGUACUCCAUUUUGGGGCUGGGAUGUGCUGCCAAGUUCCUAAAGGAUUGAAAUGCAGGAUGGACCUCACUGCUGCUGUGUCUCAACGUGGACUCAUCUGGACUCUGCACAAACUCAAUCGUUGGGGCUGUAUUUGUUGCUGUUUCGGUUUGGGGUGUGACAUCUUCCAUUCGCACCUGUUUUUGGAAGUUUUUUUUGCAAGAGCGCGGGUGCUGCCGAAGGGGUUGAAUGGCAAGGGUUACACUGAGUGGAUUGCCAUUGCCUUCCCAGCAGAAGUUAAGGCAGGAAUUUGGAAUUUGGUCAUGGUGCUGGCGAUAGCUCACUUGCUGUUUGCAAAGGACACCGUGGGAUCUUUAACAUUCACCAACGAAUCCCAGCAGAUGGGACGCCAGUUUAACAUCCAUCUGAGGGACGGCACACAUACUGACGAAUCACCCUUCCUGUGA